AUGCUGAAGACUUGCUUGCUGUACUGUAGUAUAUACCCUGAGAAUUACGGAUUUAACAUGCGUCAUUUGGUCAUGCGAUGGGUCGCUCAAGGAUUUAUUUAUGAAGAGGCUGCAUCAGAAGGAUAUUUCAAAGAGCUUGCCUGCAGGGGUUUGAUGCUACCAGAUGGUCAAGGGACCUACCAAAUGAAUCCUAUGAUGCGAAAUUUCCUUAGAUGCAAAUCGUGUGAAGAUGAUUUCUUUACUUGCAGCUCUGGCAUCACAUCGGAAUCUGCAUGUCCAGUCCACCUGCUAUGUAUCGACGAAUAUCCAGUUGAUGAUGGUGGAGUGAGGGUCAUUGAUUUGGAUUGGUCUCAGGUUCGAACUCUUGUGGUUUUUAAAGGUGCUGGGAGUCUCCCCUUUGAGAAGUUGGAACAUGUGCGGGUGUUGGAUCUUCAAGAUAAUUAUGUUGAUCCUGAAUCCGAAGAGGCUUUUUGGGAUGAUCAUGUGAAGGAUAUAUGUGGACUGCUCCGUAUGAGGCACCUAUUCGGCCUAGGGGGGGUGGGAGUUAGCAAGAUACCACUAGAAAUAGGGAGGCUGCAGUAUUUGGAGACUUUGGAGGUAGUGGGAACAUCGAUCAGAGAGCUACCCGUUGAGAUUGGGGCACUGAAGCAAUUAAAGACUCUAGACAUGAGUAUAAACAGAAGGCUGACGGAGCUGCCCAUGGAGAUCGGGGGCCUGCAACAUUUAGAGACACUGCGCAUUAGGGAAACAAAUAUCACAAAGCCGCCCUGGGAGAUCAUCGGGAUGCUGAAGAAGUUGAAGAAUCUUGACGUGAGUGUCAACGAAUGGAUCAGAGAGCUGCCUAGGGAGAUCAGGAACCUGCAUCAUUUAGAAACUCUGGACCUGAGUCGCAAUAGAGGUCUCACAAAUAUACCGGGGGAGAUUGGGAAAUUGCAGCAUUUGAAAACGCUCAACGUGAGUUCAGCAAGUAUCACAAGGCUACCUAGUGAAAUCGGGAGGCUAAAAAGUUUGGAGACCCUGGACCUGAGUUACAACAAGAGGCUCACAGAGCUGCCUCGUGAGAUCGGGAAUAUGCAGAAUCUGAAGCAUCUGCUCUUGUGUGGUACAAUGGUGGGGAAGAUACCAAGGGAAAUCGGGGGGCUGAAGAAGCUGAAGAUUUUGAUAUUAGAUGGGACCAUCAUUGCACUAGUUUGGGAGGUUGGUCAGUUUUCGGAGUUGGAGGGAGUGCCCGAGUGCAUCCGCCAAGCUUGGAAGAAUGGUGACCUUGUGUCUGAAUUGGCCGGGGAGACCAUGUCCUACAAUAAGGGUGACCUAACUGUUGGAACAAAACACAUGCACAUUCCACCCUGGAUCAAACAAUACUUCAACAACCUUCUCAACUUAGAUAUCAGGAUCUGCAAACUAGAGGAGCCGGAUCUCAAGAUUCUGCGGGAGAUGCCCAACCUUUGCCUGCUCAGGCUAAGGUUCGUAGUAGUUCCAAGAAAACCCAUAUCCAUCAGCGGUAAAGGGUUCCCAAGUCUCAUGGUGCUUGUUGUUGACAGCCGCGUGCCACGGCUUACCUUCCAGGAGGGAGCGAUGCCGAAGGUGCAAUAUAUCAGCUUCGAGUUCCGGUUCUACGGUGGUCUGCCAAAUGAAGACCGUCUCAGCAUCAAGCACCUCCGGAGCCUUGGGUGGCUCGAAUUUACAUGCAACAAAUGGUACCGAGGAGCAGGCAGCAGCCCGUUCAUUAGCGCGAUGGUUGAUGUCGCGAGGAAGGAAGCCCAGGAGCAUCCCAACCAGAUCAGCUUCCGUGUCUCUGGCUGCGAGGAUGAGAAUUUUCCAGCGAACAAGAGCGCACAGGUUGGAGAAGCUUCCAGCAGUGGGACGGGGGAGAUCCCAAGAGUGCUGCAUUGCCAAAAGUGA
rnacentral:rRNA from 1 species